rnacentral:rRNA from 1 species
CAAUGGGCGCAAGCCUGAUCCAGCCAUGCCGCGUGUCUGAAGAAGGCCUUCGGGUUGUAAAGGACUUUUGUCAGGGAAGAAAAGGCUGUUGCUAAUACCAGCGGCCGAUGACGGUACCUGAAGAAUAAGCACCGGCUAACUACGUGCCAGCAGCCGCGGUAAUACGUAGGGUGCGAGCGUUAAUCGGAAUUACUGGGCGUAAAGCGGGCGCAGACGGUUACUUAAGCAGGAUGUGAAAUCCCCGGGCUCAACCCGGGAACUGCGUUCUGAACUGGGUGACUCGAGUGUGUCAGAGGGAGGUAGAAUUCCACGUGUAGCAGUGAAAUGCGUAGAGAUGUGGAGGAAUACCGAUGGCGAAGGCAGCCUCCUGGGACAACACUGACGUUCAUGCCCGAAAGCGUGGGUAGCAAACAGGAUUAGAUACCCUGGUAGUCCACGCCCUAAACGAUGUCAAUUAGCUGUUGGGCAACCUGAUUGCUUGGUAGCGUAGCUAACGCGUGAAAUUGACCGCCUGGGGAGUACGGUCGCAAGAUUAAAACUCAAAGGAAUUGACGGGGACCCGCACAAGCGGUGGAUGAUGUGGAUUAAUUCGAUGCAACGCGAAGAACCUUACCUGGUCUUGACAUGUACGGAAUCCUCUGGAGACGGAGGAGUGCCUUCGGGAGCCGUAACACAGGUGCUGCAUGGCUGUCGUCAGCUCGUGUCGUGAGAUGUUGGGUUAAGUCCCGCAACGAGCGCAACCCUUGUCAUUAGUUGCCAUCAUUCAGUUGGGCACUCUAAUGAGACUGCCGGUGACAAGCCGGAGGAAGGUGGGGAUGACGUCAAGUCCUCAUGGCCCUUAUGACCAGGGCUUCACACGUCAUACAAUGGUCGGUACAGAGGGUAGCCAAGCCGCGAGGCGGAGCCAAUCUCACAAAACCGAUCGUAGUCCGGAUUGCACUCUGCAACUCGAGUGCAUGAAGUCGGAAUCGCUAGUAAUCGCAGGUCAGCAUACUGCGGUGAAUACGUUCCCGGGUCUUGUACACACCGCCCGUCACACCAUGGGAGUGGGGGAUACCAGAAGUAGGUAGGGUAACCGCAAGGAGCCCGCUUACCACGGUAUGCUUCAUGACUGGGGUGAAGUCGUAACAAGGUAGCCGUAGGGGAACCUGCGGCUGGAUCACCUCCUUU